CAGGGCCCGGGGAGGAGCCAGGACCCCGGGCGGGAGAAAAGAGACUGAGGGGCGUGCGGCACAAAGAGCUUUUUAUUUAAAUUUGUUUAGAGUUUGGCGAAUUUGCAUGAAAAAUGUGUGAGAAAAGCCAGCUCCGGUGACCUCAUCCGCACCUGCCAUUAACGUUCAAUUAGCGGUUGAAUAGAGGCGCCGACGCGACGUGCAGAGAAUCCGGCGGGCCCCGCGGAGCCACGGCUGCGGGCCGGGCCCAGGGUGGGGUGGGAGUGGGGGGGCGGGGGCCGACUCCUGCGAGCCGGAGACGCUCGCCUCGUCCGCACCCCAACUCUCUGAGGGGACGUAGGAACCACAGAACCCUCGAGUCCAAGGCGGCAUGGGGCGCAGCAGGGCCCGGGGCACCUGGGGAUGCCAGGCUCCCUCCUGGCGCCGAGGAGGGCAGGCUUGCCCCCUCCCCAGGAUAGGAGGUGGAUGGAUGAGCCCCCGUCCUAGCUCAGAUGGGUUCCCUCGCCACCUUCCGGACAAAGUGUCAAGUACAAGUUCAAGUUCAGGGCCAGGCCCGGGGGGGGGGGGGGGGGGGGGGCGCCAAGCCUUCUCCCGCCGCCUUUGUUCUUGGAGAGAAUCACUCCUAAGUCUCCUCCGGGCGGGGCCCGGCCAACGCCCCCGCCCCGCCCCGUGGUGCCCAACUGGGGCCGCCUCCUCCCGCCCUCGCGGCGCCUGUCCCCUGGUCCCGGCGCCCCCGCUCAGGGCCACCGAAGGGUCUGGGGACUCGGGGAGGGGGGAGGCGCGAUCCGGGUCCGUGGGAGCCUCCCCAGCCCCGCAGUCCCAGCAGCAAACCGAGCGUUGUCGGACGGAUGCUCGCGCGGAGGGUGGCUGCCUGGAGCCAUCAGGGAUGUGGAAUUGCCUGCUUCUUCAUGCCAAAGAGAGAAGAUGAAGGAAAAGGCUCCAGCCAAUCAAUGAACAUGCACUCCUUACCAUGGCAAAUGGCACUGACUGGCUCAGACCAGCCAUUCCCAACCCCAUCAGCCCACCCCUCAAAUUACUAUCCUCAUAAAAUCUGUAAAAAAUAGAACCCACUUACACAUGUAAUUGCAAAAACAUUAACGCAAUGUAUAAAGGAAACAUCAAAGGAAAUGUACAGUAAAAUACAUUUAUUUCAAGAUAUAUGCUCAGUAUUUGUCAAGUUUUUUGUUUUGGGUUUUUUUGUUUGUUUGUUUGUUUUGCUUUUUGGGGCUGCACCCACAGCAUAUGAAAGUUCCCAGGCAAGGGGUUGAAUUGGAGCUGCAGCUGCCAGCCUACACCGCAGCCACAGCAACUCAGGAUCCCAGCCUCAUCUUUGACCUACACCACAGCUCAGGGCAAUGCCAGAUCCUUAACCCAUUAAGCAGGGCCAGGGAUCCUAGUCAGGUUCGUUAAAUGCUGAGCCACAACGGGAACUCCAAUUUGUCAAGUAUUUCUGAUUCUAGAGUAUUCUGGAGGACAUAAUGAAACAAUCAGAUGCCUUCACCUCCACAGACAAUUUUCACAGGAGUUCCUGCUGUGGCUCAGCAAUAAGGAACCCGACUAGUGUCCAUGAGGACACAGGUUCAAUCCCUGACCUCACUCAGUGGGUUAAGGAUCAAGUGUUACUGUGAGCUGCAGUGCAGGUCACAGACACAGCUCAGAUUUGGCAUUUCUGUGGCUGUGGCAUAGGCUGUAGCUGCAGCUCUGAUUCGACCCCUAGCCUGGGAAUUUCCAUAUGCGUUGAGUGUGGCCCUAAAAAGACAAAAAAGAAAAAAAAAAUUCCACAAAUAUGGCAGUGAUGCAGCAAAGGAAACCAUAAAAAAAAGAAAAAGACAACCUAUGGAAUGGGAGAAAAUAGUUUCAAAUGAUGCAGCUGACAAGGGCUUACUCUCUAAAAUAUACAAUCGACUUAUACAACUCAACAGCAAAAAAACCCAAAAACCCAAUUGAAAAAUGGGCAAAAGAGCUGAAUAGACAUUUCUCCAAAGAAGAUAUACAGAUGGCCAAAAAGCAUAUGAAAAAAUGCUCAACAUCCCUCAUUAUUAGAGAAAUGCAAAUCAGAACUACUGUGUGGUACCACCUCACACCAGUUAGAAUGGCCAUCAUUAAUAAGUCCACAAACAACCAAUGCUGGAGAGGGUGUGGAGAAAAGGGAAUGCUCCUGCACUGUUGGUGGGAAUGUAAAUUGGUAAACCCACUAGGCAGAGCAGUAUGGAGGUACCUCAGAAAACUAAAUAUAGAACUACCAUAUGACCCAGCAAUCCCAUCCUGGGGCAUAUAUCCAGGCAAAACUUCCCUUGAAAAAGAUAAAUGCACCCAUAUGUUCAUUGCAGCACUAUUCACAAUAGCCAAGACAUGGAAAUGUCCAUUGACAGAUGAAUAGAUUAAGAAUAUGUGGUAUAUAUACAUGAUGGACUACUACUCAGCCAUGAAAAAGGACAAAAUAAUGCCAUUUAUAGCAAUAUGGAUGGAAUUAGAGACUCUUUAUACUGAGUGAAGUUAGUCAGAAAGAGAAAGACAAAUACCAUGUGAUAUCACUUAUGUCUGGAAUCUAACAUACCGCACAAAUAAACCUUUCCACAGAAAAGAAACUCA
rnacentral:lncRNA from 1 species